rnacentral:rRNA from 1 species
CGUAGGUGGCAAGCGUUGUCCGGAUUUAUUGGGUUUAAAGGGUGCGUAGGCGGUCCCAUAAGUCAGUGCUGAAAUAUCCCGGCUUAACCGGGAGGGUGGCAUUGAUACUGUGGGACUUGAGUAAAGUUGAGGUUGGCGGAAUUGACGGUGUAGCGGUGAAAUGCUUAGAUAUCGUCAAGAACACCUAUUGCGAAGGCAGCUAACUAAGCUUUAACUGACGCUGAGGCACGAAAGUGUGGGGAUCAAACAGGAUUAGAUACCCUGGUAGUCCACACUGUAAACGUUGAUUACUCGCUGUUGGCGAUACACGGCCAGCGGCUUAGCGCAAGCGAUAAGUAAUCCACCUGGGGAGUACGCCGGCAACGGUG